GAGUGAAGAAGCCCUUCGGGUUGUAAAGCUCUUUCAGUGAGGAAGAUAAUGACGGUACUCACAGAAGAAGUCCUGGCUAACUCCGUGCCAGCAGCCGCGGUAAUACGGAGAGGGCUAGCGUUAUUCGGAAUCAUUGGGCGUAAAGGGCGCGUAGGCGGAUUAGUAAGUUAAAAGUGAAAUCCCAGGGCUUAACCUUGGAACUGCUUUUAAAACUGCUUAUCUAGAGAUUGAAAGAGGAUAGAGGAAUUCCUAGUGUAGAGGUGAAAUUCGUAAAUAUAGGAG
rnacentral:rRNA from 1 species